rnacentral:misc_RNA from 1 species
UCUAAUCACAUGUGCUUUUAGCAGACGCCAUAUUGGUUGCUGUCUGAGAAGGAGGAAGAGAAGAAGCAAGAAAGUUAGCGGGUUUUAGCUGCAAAAUGAGUUUCGAUAGCGGUAGAGGACCUCCAAAUAUAGAAGGAAUGACGAGUCUGAAGGUGGAUAACCUAACUUAUCGCACAGGUAUUGAAGAUUUAAAGAAGUUAUUUGGCAAGUUUGGUGAAGUUGGAGACAUCUACAUCCCACGAGACCGUAAACAUCUACAGUCUAGAGGCUUCGCUUUCGUUCGCUUUUGGGAAAAAAGAGAUGCUGAAGAUGCCAUGGAUAAAAUGGAUAGAAAAGUUGUAGAUGGGAGAGAAAUUCGUGUUCAAAUGGCUCGAUAUGGAAGACCUACAGAAACGUAUAAACCAAGCAGACGAGAUAAUCGUGGGUAUGGCGGGGGAAGGUACAGAUCCCGUUCAAGAUCUCGAUCACCAAGAAGAAGAAGAAGUCGCUAUUCAAGAUCCAGAUCAAGGUCUCCUAAGAGACGCUACAGCAGAUCAAGAUCUCCAAGAGGGCGUCGUUCACGUUCCUACAGCCCAAGACGUUCCAGAAGUCCUGCAAGACGACGAUCAGUGAGGGAAGAGUUUGGUGUAUUGUAUUAGCUGAUUUGCUGAUCUUAUCCCAGCUGCCUUCUGUUGCUACUAGCCUCUUUUUGAGACUAGGCGCAGUAGUAAAAUGCAGUACUGGUCUGACGACCUCAGCUCUUGCAGUGAUCUCAGAGUGCUGCUGCCGCCUACAGCACAUUGCUGUGGCGGUCGGUCCUGUAUACAUGCUGUUGUCCUUGGUGUUAAGCUGAUUAUGUUGCUGUAUGGGGACCUCUAUUUCUAAUUGGCAGACACCCACCCAAAAAUGCUGCUGACUGUAUGCUGAAAUUGGCAGACAACCCAGACUUUAUUCUGGAUUUGGCUAACACUUGGAAGCAAUCUUGCAGGUUUUCCCUGAAAUUGGCAGUUACCCCGCAAAAAAGCAUACUCAAUUCAGAAUGAAAUUUGACGGACACCUAACUUAAGAAGACUUGCAUAUUGUAUGCAGAAAAUUUUUAAUUAAUAUCUGGAGGCAUAAACAAUUUCACUUCUGGACAUCCCAUAUUGAUAUUUCAACAAUGAAAACUAAUACAUUUAAGGUGGUCACUAUAUCAUUAAAAACAUCCAGUGGAAGACACCCAAACAAAAGAGAGAUUUAGAGAUUUUACAAUAAGAAGGGUUUUUCAAACAAUUUUUUAUUAAUUCAGGCCUGAGUGCCAGUCAUCAGGGAUGUAGAAAAGGUUUAUGAUUGAAUCCUCGUGAUAUGAAACCAACCUACAAGACAACACUUGAUUAGAGAUUUUGUUAUAUUCACCACAUACACAAAAAAAGCAGACAGUUUGGUUGGGAAUAGCUAAGCAGCACAAAAGUGAUUGAAUUAGAUUGACAAAAUUUUCAGUUCAGAGCCUUGCAAAUUUUGUUGAAGGAGUUGCCUUUGCUACUGGUGGAGAUUAAAAGGAAGACGAGGCUAGUUGGUUCUUGUGAAGGAAUCACUGAUGGUGUGAUGUGGGCAGCAAUUUAAAGUUAAAGUGUCUAUUACACCAAAAUCAAUAUUUUCAGCAUUGCUGUUUAUGAAUUGAGUAACAUCUUGAAGAUAUGAAGGUUUAUAUUUCAAAUAUGUUAAUGAGUGUGAUGACGAGGCAUUAAAUAACUUUUCUGGGUCAUUAAAAUACUGUAUCAAACAUUAUCUGGUUUAUAGAAAGGUGCGAUUCAAUUUAAAUAUGACCAAACUCGAAUGGUUCAUAAGAUGUCACUCCUUAACAUAUUGGAAUCAUAAACCUUGAUACCUUCAAGGUGCAUCACUCAAAUNAUGUAAAAUAUGUAAAUAUUUUACCAUUUAACUACUCCAUGUAGAAUCAAUGCUGAAAAUAUGGAUAAAGGUGUCAUGGGCAUUUUAAGAAAGAAUUUUUGGCAGUGUUAAUUGGCCGUGUUUUCCAGAUUCCUUAUUUUGAUGCUCGAGUCUUAUUUACCAAGGACGAGUAAAGAUGGUUAACUAAGCUAAAUGGAUAAGAUUUUGAAUGAGAGUUCUUUUCUGUGUAAGGUAGACUGUUGUGCUCUUGAUGAAUGAAGUUGCAGUCAAGGUUAGGUGGAUAGUAGUGUGCGAUUAAUAAUGGUGUUGCAAUCAUUCUCAAUGGCAUGUGGAAUCAUCGCAGUAAAGGUUUCGAUGGACAUGAAUCCGGGUAUUUCCAUGGAAACUUGGUGUUUUUCAAACCUUCAUGAAAACAAUUUGACAUCCAUCACAACCCUUUGUGAAAGUAAAAAUUGUGUGAUUGCAUGUGUGCUGUUGUGAAUGACUGUAAAGAGUUUGUACGCAAUGUGUACGCCCUUACACAUUUGUAUUUAGAGAAUAGUGGGAACCCUGGCACUUCGUGAUUUUAUAUACAUACGCUACUUGAAGUACAUUGCACAUGUUUGCAGAAGACCAAAUUCAAAUUUAACGAAACAGUUGCUGUUUGCAAUUCCAUCUGCUAAAUAUGUUGGAGAUCAAUGGAUCAAAAUUAGUCAACUACUUAAUGUUGAUAAACACCAAGCUAAGAAAUCUACACAAGACAGAAAAGUUCUAAAAGGACUACUACAUCAGAACUUUGGCUCUGUGUAGACUAUAUAGUCCCUGCUGAUCAACUUAUAGUUGGAAAUAGUGGAAUGAUACUGAUCCAAAUUUUAUUCCAUCCACAAGAUGGUCCAGAAGAUUAUGUUUGAAUUGGUCUCAACAAUGCUAUCAAAUUCUCUUUUUCCUCUUUUCCCUUCCAGUUGUUCAUAUCUUAAUAAAUUGUUUGACUUUUUUCUUA